rnacentral:rRNA from 1 species
CCCUUAGAUGGUCUGGGCGGCACGCGCGCUACAAUGAUGCAUUCAAAAAGUCUUCUGACCUUAGAAGGUUGGGUAUUCUCCAAAGUGCAUCGUGAUGGGAAUAGUUUAUUGCAAUUUUUAAUCUUGAACGAGGAAUUCCUAGUAAGUACAGGUCAUCAACUUGUGUUGAUUACGUCCCUGCCCUUUGUACACACCGCCCGUCGCUCCUACUGAUUGAGUGUCUCGGCGAAUUCUUUGAUCUUCUGUCGAUUCAGUUCACUGAUCCGACGGUGGAAAGUUGAAUGAACUUCGUCACUUAGAGGAAGGAGAAGUCGUAACA